CCUACGGGGGGCAGCAGUGAGGAAUAUUGGUCAAUGGGAGAGAUCCUGAACCAGCCAAGCCGCGUGAGGGAAGACGGCCCUAUGGGUUGUAAACCUCUUUUGUCGGAGAACAAAACCCGGGACGUGUCCCGGACUGCGUGUAUCCGAAGAAAAAGCAUCGGCUAACUCCGUGCCAGCAGCCGCGGUAAUACGGAGGAUGCGAGCGUUAUCCGGAUUUAUUGGGUUUAAAGGGUGCGUAGGCGGUUUGAUAAGUUAGAGGUGAAAUACCGGUGCUCAACACCGGAACUGCCUCUAAUACUGUUGAA
rnacentral:rRNA from 1 species